GAGGAGCACCAGGAGAGAGCAAUAUCUUGUAGACCGAUAUUGCGGAGGAUGAGAAGAAGCUGUUGAUGAUCAACAGUGUCAAAAGCUGCAGACAGGUCAAGGAGAAUUAGGAUAGAGUAGUGACCACGAGAUUUUGUAGCGAGUAGAUCAUUGGAUACUUUGGUCAGUGCCGUUUCCACAGAGUUCUUAGCGCGGAAACCAGACUGAAGUGGGUCUAGCAGAGAGUUAGACUCAAGGAAGUCUGUCAAUCUCACAUACACAAUUCUUUCAAGGAUCUUGGAUGCAAAAGGCAGUAGUGAGACAGGACAAUAGUUGUAUGGGGAGUUAGGGUCCAGAUUGGGCUUCUUUAGAAUUGGGGUUUCAGUUGCAUGUUUGAAGGGCAAUGGAAAUAUACCAGAGGAGAGAGAGCAAUGGAAAUUUUAGUGAGAGGUGGAGAAAGAGAAGAAGACAGAGUACGGAUGAGAUGCGAGGGAAUUGGAUCUAGGGAGCAGGAGGACUGGUGCAGAGCAGAAACCUCUUCCAAUGUAGCAGGUGCAAAUGAACAUAGAAGAG